rnacentral:rRNA from 1 species
UGGGGAAUAUUAGACAAUGGGCGAAAGCCUGAUCCAGCAACGCCGCGUGUGUGAAGAAGGUCUUCGGAUUGUAAAGCACUUUCGACGGGGACGAUGAUGACGGUACCCGUAGAAGAAGCCCCGGCUAACUUCGUGUCAG